GCUGUGUGAGAGGUUGAAGGCUCUGAAUACUGUAUGACUCUGAUGGGAGGCUGCGUGAGAGGUUGAAGGCUCUGAAUACUGCAUGACUCUGAUGGGAGGCUGUGUGAGAGGUUGAAGGCUCUGAAUACUGUAUGACUCUGAUGGGAGGCUGUGUGAGAGGUUGAAGGCUCGGAAUACUGUAUGACUCUGAUGGGAGGCUGUGUGAGAGGUUGAAGGCUCGGAAUACUGUAUGACUCUGAUGGGAGGCUAUGUGAGAGGUUGAAGGCUCGGAAUACUGCAUGACUCUGAUGGGAGGCUUCAUGUUGUGAUUAAAGGGAAUGGCUCCUUCCUUCUCCCUUGUUUCUCCCUCCUUCUCCUCCUUUCCAACCUCUUUCCUGCCUCAUUUCUCAC